GCCUGGGAGGGUAAUGCAGAACUUAACCCAUAUCCUUAAAAUAACACUCACCUUUAGAAAUGUUUACUAAUGACAAUCUACAAACACAUACUUCUAAAUAAUUGC